rnacentral:rRNA from 1 species
UACGUAGGGGGCAAGCGUUGUCCGGAUUUACUGGGCGUAAAGCGCGUGUAGGCGGCUACGCAGGUCCGUUGUGAAAACUGGAGGCUCAACCUCCAGACGUCGACGGAAACCGUGUGGCUAGAGUCCGGAAGAGGAGAGUGGAAUUCCUGGUGUAGCGGUGAGAUGCGCAGAUAUCAGGAAGAACACCAAUGGCGAAGGCAGCUCUCUGGGACGGUACUGACGCUGAGACGCGAAAGCGUGGGGAGCGAACAGG